UACAUCAAUAACUAUAACACUAUUUAUUCUAUUCCAACUAAAAAUCUCAAACUAUUCAUAUCCAUUAAAUCCAGAACUAACAGAAAUAAAAACCCAAAAACACGACACCCCCUGAGAAACAAAAUGAACGAAAAUCUAUUUGCCUCUUUCAUUACCCCUACGAUAAUAGGACUACCUAUCGUUACCUUAAUUAUUAUAUUCCCUAGCCUAUUAUUCCCAACACCCAAACGACUUAUUAAUAACCGUAUAAUCUCCAUUCAACAAUGAUUGACUCAACUAACAUCCAAACAAAUAAUAGCCAUCCAUAAUCAAAAAGGCCAAACCUGAUCACUAAUACUCAUAUCUCUAAUCAUAUUUAUCAGCUCAACAAAUAUUCUAGGUCUAUUACCACACUCCUUUACGCCCACUACACAACUAUCAAUAAACCUGGGCAUAGCAAUCCCCCUAUGAGCAGCAACUGUAUUCACAGGAUUCCGUCAUAAAACCAAGGCAUCACUAGCCCACUUCCUACCACAAGGAACACCCAUUCCACUAAUCCCUAUGCUUGUAAUCAUCGAAACCAUUAGCCUAUUUAUUCAACCAGUAGCCCUAGCCGUACGACUAACGGCCAAUAUCACAGCAGGACAUCUCCUAAUUCAUCUAAUUGGAGGAGCUACUUUAGCACCACUCAACAGCAGCACCAUAACAGCCUUCGUCACAUUCAUUAUUCUAAUUAUACUAACCAUUCUUGAAUUCGCAGUAGCUCUAAUUCAAGCCUAUGUAUUCACACUACUAGUAAGCUUAUAUUUACACGAUAAUACAUAAUGACCCACCAAACACACGCAUAUCACAUAGUAAACCCAAGCCCAUGACCACUUACUGGGGCCUUAUCAGCUUUACUGAUAACAUCCGGCCUAGCCAUAUGGUUCCAUUUUAAUUCCAUCCUCCUACUGUCCCUAGGACUACUAACCAACACCCUAACAAUAUAUCAAUGAUGACGAGAUAUUAUUCGAGAAAGCACUUUCCAAGGCCACCAUACGUCAGUUGUCCAAAAAGGCUUACGAUAUGGUAUAAUCCUAUUCAUCAUUUCUGAAGUCCUAUUCUUCACUGGAUUCUUCUGAGCUUUUUAUCAUUCAAGCUUAGCACCAACACCUGAACUAGGAGGUUGCUGACCACCAACAGGAAUUCACCCACUAAACCCCCUAGAAGUACCACUACUAAACACUUCAGUUCUCCUCGCCUCAGGGGUCUCCAUUACUUGAGCCCAUCACAGCCUAAUAGAAGGAGACCGAAAACACAUACUUCAAGCAUUGGGCAUCACCAUCGCACUAGGCCUAUACUUUACCCUCCUCCAAGCCUCAGAAUACUACGAAGCACCAUUUACAAUCUCUGACGGAGUGUACGGAUCCACCUUUUUCGUAGCUACAGGAUUUCACGGAUUACACGUAAUUAUUGGAUCCACAUUUCUAGCAGUAUGCUUCCUACGACAAUUAAAAUUCCACUUCACAUCCAACCACCACUUUGGCUUCGAAGCCGCAGCCUGAUACUGACACUUUGUAGACGUAGUUUGACUAUUCCUUUACGUAUCAAUCUAUUGAUGAGGGUCCUA